CAGAGGCACCUCCCCAUGUUUGUACUUCUGUAUACAAUAUACCACCUCUGCCUGCAGCACUUACUCAGAGCGACUGAUGCAAGGAACUAAACUCCAUCACAUGGUGAGCCCUGUGGAAUAUGGAUCUCUUUGUGGAUAAGACCUCCCCUGUGGCAAAAACCAGGCCAAUUUACAUAAUAUGCAAAUUAGGCUCUCGGAUUUGGAACACCAGAAUAUGGCAACCCUAUUCCAAGGUGACCCUCAGCACUACGCAAAUCAUCUGCCUCUGGGAAUCUAGCAGUCAAAGCCUUCCCUAUCCAAGUACCUGGAAUUCCAGUUUCUGCUUCCGGACAGUUGCUGCUUCAUCGCUGACGUUGCUGAAAGAAAGAGAGAGGUCACCAGGUCCUGUUUGUCGGAGGGACUCAUUUCUGGAUGGCCAGCUGCUGCGCUGAAGAAAAAGACCCUCAUGAGAAUUUCAGAGGAAAUUCGAGAGAUCAGAGUUCAGUAGAAAUUCAUCUGCAUUCCUCGCCCCGCCCCCUCCCAUAUCUCCCCUACUUGUGGAAUUUUGGAGAAUACUGGAGUGGCAUAUUCUCCCCAAGUCUAGUCCUGAUUAUUCCUCCAGAGAAGCCAUGACAAUCACACUGAUUCUGUUGCAUGUAUAGGCCCAGCCUCUGCCACAUAGCUACCAUGCUAUGCCAUUUAUCAUUCAUUUCUUUAAGAUAUUUCUAAACCACCCAAAACUUGCGUCUCUGGGUGGUUUUGUAGUUUUCAGCGGGGUUUUCAUUCAUUUAAGGAAUGUACUUCUGGCCAACAUCCCAACACUAUGCUCAUGCAAGGAUGUUGCACUAGCACAGGGGUUCCCAGCCUGUGUCCCUCCAGAUGUUGCUGAACUACAACUCCCAUCAUCCCCAGCUACAAUUUAUUGUGGCUGGGGUUGAUGGGAGUUGUAGUUCAGCAACAUCUGGAGGACCACAGG